GCCGGGCAUGGUGGCGCAUGCCUGUAGUCCCAGCUACUUGGGAGGCUGAGGCAGGAGAAUCGCUUGAACCCAGGAGGUGGAGGUUGUAGUGAGCCAAGAUGGUGCCACUGCGCUCCAGCCUGGGCGACAGAGUGAGACUCCGUCUCAA
rnacentral:SRP_RNA from 2 species